AUACGAGCAGUGUUAUCCUGUGAGUCGUGAAAAUAGCACGCGUCUUGAUUUAUAUGCGGCAGAUUAACGUUUUUCCCCAACGAUUUUUUCUCCGCACCAAGAACAAGUGAUUUAAGGAAAUUCCUAAGCAUAAUAAGAAGAAAUAAAAUCGAAAAAUAUCUCGCAUAAAUCGAAAAAACUAAAGAAAGCUUAGAAUUUUUUUUCAAAUAAAGUGCAGAUGUGAAGUGUUCAUUGUUUUUGGCUUAAAUACUAUGAAAAAUCUCUCAAAAGAAAAAAAAAAUGAUACACAAGCAAUUGUGGGUUAAGAGCGUUUUGGGGUUAAAGGCCUGAUGACAACAAAAAGAAAAUCUUAAAUAAUACCAAAUCAUAUACAAAAGCAAACCAAAGGCUAUUGAGGUCUUUUCAUGCUGGAAUAUUUUUACUCCAUAUUUACUUUUAAGUGUUAAAGGAGUGCCCCUUUAUCCUUUUACGGCUUUCUCUUUGUCUAAAAAACUUUGUCCUUUAAACUUUGCAUGUGUUGGUGUUGAUAAUUAUAAUGAUGCAGCUGUUUGAGAAUAUGUUGGCUCUAUAAAUUAAAGCAUACUUCUAGGAGACCACAUGUGCCCCAUUGCUCUCUUGUUUGAGUGUUUGCAGGUAAUCAGCACAAGUGUGGCCAAAUGCAAUUGCCUUUGCUGUUGGCCAACAUAACACAACGUCUUUGUCGUCUCUGCUUACUGCUAAGUUUUAUCCUAACAACAACAACAACAAAAAGUCUUAAGUAAGAAACAAAGUGCAAAAUAAAACAGAAACAAGCAAACAACUUUACAAGGUGAACAAAAAGAAGGUGUUGUGUGUGUCUCAGGUGCUUGAAGUGUAGAUGGAGUGGCAACAAAAACAACAAUAGCAACAGAAAGGAAAUAAGCAAAAAAUGAGUCCAAGCAUGUGUACACGAGAAAUAUGGCCUGCUUGUGAAGUGUAAACAUAAAAUUAAAAACAAGGCACAUAAAUUUGCCAAAAAAUGAGAAAUGGUGAAAUUACAAUGAAUUAUAAAGCAUACUUUUAGGCCACAAUAAAUUGCGAAAAGAAACAACAAAUUUAACAUAACACAAAGGCGAAGAAAAAUCCCACGAAAACAAGAGUGAAAGGUCAAUAAAUUGAAGAAAUAAAACAAGAAAAAUCCAAAUUAAACUAAAAGGCCCAAUCGAAAAAAGUUAAAUAAUUAGAAUUUGAAAAUUUAAAAGUUUUUGUGAUUUUUUCUAAUAAAUCUUGUUCUUUGAUCUUUAAUCAAGAAAGAAAAAAGUUUUCAAAAUUUAAUAAUAAAAUAACGCAAAGCUUUUGCUUACUUGUUUACGUUCUUAACGAUAAAAAAAACAGCCCCUUCACCCAUACCACACUCUGGCUACUCAUCCAGUUCCGGUCAUUACAGUUUUUUUUUGUUUGUUUUUUUUUUCGCUUUUUGAUCAAUAAAGAAAUUAUGCAAAUAUAGUCAUUGGACAGACACACUGAACCCCAAGUCUGACAAAAUACUAACGGAAACCCAACAAGGCAAGGACACAAUCAAAGCAAAAGACAUAGUCCCUCAACCAAGCAAACAGCCAAACGAACAACAAGGAAUACGAAUACUUCAAGAAAAACAAUGCGGAAAUUUAAUUUAUAAAAAAUUCAACAAUGUCAUUGAGAGCCUUGGCCAACAACAGCAAGAAGGACACGCCGGCAAGGUCGUCAGAGCAACAGCAAAAGCAACACCAGCUACAAGACCAGAAAUACCAGCAGUAACAAAUAAAGACCUCUCCCUACGUUUUAGGGUCGGUUUUAACAAAUUUAAAAAAUCACAACCCACACCACAACAAAAACAAAAACAAAAAAAGAGAAAAGUUUAAAAACAAAUCCUAAAGCAUGCUUUUAGGCUGUCGCUUCUAGUGUGUGUGCGUGUGUGUGUGUGCUGGGGUGAAUUGUAAGUUCAAAGAAAAAACAAAAAACCUAUGAAAGCGUGCAUGUACUGUCUGUGAGAGAGAGUGUAAGUGUCAGUGUGUGCGAGUGUGUAUGGGGAGCGUGUCGGUUGAAUUACACCCCUGAGAGUCUUUACACAACAGCUCAGCACAAAGGACAUUACCGGUUGUGAGGAGCUAAAAACAAGCAAAAAAAAAAAAA
rnacentral:sRNA from 1 species